CCUACGGGAGGCAGCAGUGAGGAAUAUUGGUCAAUGGACGAGAGUCUGAACCAGCCAAGCAGCGUGAAGGAUGACUGCCCUAUGGGUUGUAAACUGCUUUUAUAAGGGAAUAAAACGAGGCACGUGUGCCUUUUUGCAUGUACUUUACGAAUAAGGAUCGGCUAACUCCGUGCCAGCAGCCGCGGUAAUACGGAGGAUCCGAGCGUUAUCCGGAUUUAUUGGGUUUAAGGGGAGCGUAGAUGGGUUGUUAAGUUAGUUGGGAAAUCUUGCGGCUCAACCGUAAAAUUGCAAUUGAUACUGGCAGUCUUGAGUACAGUUGAGGUAGGCGGAAUUCGUGGUGUAGCGGUGAAAUGCUUAGAUAUCACGCAGAACACCGAUUGCGAAGGCAGCUUACUAAACUGUGACUGACAUUGAUGCUCGAAAGUGUGGGUAUCAAACAGGAUUAGAUACCCUAGUAGUC
rnacentral:rRNA from 1 species